AAUGAAGGGCCAUGUCCUUUUCAAAGGGGGAGAUAAUCACAAAAAUGCAGAAAUAAGGUGGGGCCAUUUAAAAAUCUUCUCAAGAACCACUGGGCCAGAAAAGCUGAUAUUUACUGGAAUGCUUCCUGGCAUAGUGCAGAUUCAAGUUUGUUAAAAUUAUGGACCCUGGGAGGUUGGAUUGGGCCACAAUAUGGGAUCAAAAUUUUACAUGCAAAUAUUUUGGAAAAAUAUUUAAAAAUCUUCUCAAAAACUUCUGGGACAGGAAAGUAGAAAUUUAUAUGAAAGCUUCCUGACCUUGGGCAGAUUCUAGUUUGUAAAAAGCAUGGUCCCCGGGGCAGGAUUGGGCCACAAGGGGGGAGGGGGUCAAAGUUUUACAUAGAAAUAAAUAGUAAAAAUGUUUAAAAAUCUUCUCAAAAACUACUAGACCAAGAGAGUGGAAAUUUACAUGAAUGCUACCUAUUUGGUAACAUAGUACAGAUUGAAAUUUGUUGAAAUUAUGGCCCCGAGGGUAAACUGUGGUGACAUUAGGGGAUCAAAGUUAAUUCACACACACACACACACACAGAAAAUCAUUAAAAAUCUUCUUCUGAAAAAUCACUGGGCCAGAAAAGUUUACAUUCACAUGAAAGCUUCCUGACAUAGUCCAGAUUCAAUUUUGGAAAAAAAAUCAUGGCCGUGGGAGUAGGUUGGGGCCACAAUAGUAGGGCUGCAACGGGUACCCAAAUUAACCAAAAACCAUGCGGGUUGUGUUGUUUGGGUUGGGUUCGGUUCCAUUUUUUUUUUUUUGUAUUUCGGUUCGGGUUUGCUUUUUAAAAUAGAAUCAAUAUUAGAAAUCCGUUGAAACGAAAUGUCGUCAAAAUCCUAAAGGUGGCUAUAUUUUGACCAAUGGUCAGAUGAUGGCAUUUUGGACAGAACUAUAAACAAUGACAGUAUGUAAGAUAUGUCAAACGCAUUGAAAAUACGCCACAGGUUCGACAUCGUCAAUGACAAAAUAUUGAAAACAUGGAAUGGAAACGAGAAGUGACAAUACUGUGUCGAGUACCAUGGUUGUCGAGUCUAAACCUCAGUCCACGUCCCCGAGUAAUUAUUGUGUUAAAACAAGUUAUGUAAACCAAAACUGAUAUAUCCGAAUCUGAAUUUUAAAAUUUAGAACCGACCCGACCUCAAAUUUUUUGGAUCUAUGACAGCCCUACACAAUAGGCAUCAAAGUUUUACAUGCAAAUAUAUAGGAAAAAAUCUUAAAAUAUGAGUCAAUGUGAGUCCGGUAAGCCAUGUUACCCAUGGGCUUCUUGUUCUUCACCAGAUCAAAAUCUGACUUUUGUUAGCAGGUUUUUUUUAGGUUUGGAGGCUGAUGUCAACUGUAGACAAUGUUCUUUAGUUAAAGUCAUUUAGAUUUUCGGAUUGUUGUGAAAUCGGGAAGCAAUGUUCCAAAGAAGUUUUUUGAAGUCUGAUCUUUGUCGAAUAUGGGCGCUACAGCAAAAAGUUGUUACUAAAAAUAGAGUUCAAUUUGAAAAAGUUAAGUGAGAUUAUCUUUUGUGGUUAAAUUUAGUUGCACUACCUCUGAGGAAAAAUUCAAUUAUAUAUGAAUGUCAAAUUUUCUGGGCAUGAGUUGUAAAUUUGCAAUAUUAAUAAAGAAAUUCUGUUUCUUUAUCAUAUAAUCAUAUACAAUUCAAGCACCUGAAGUUAUUGUUCAUUUUAGUUAUUAUUACAUAAUAUUACAUAUAUCAGUCAGUGCUCCAAGUUGUGAGUAAAACGGUCGCAUUUGCGACCAGAAAAUCAAUUUUGCGACUAGAGAUUAUGAUUAAGUCGCAUUUUCGCGAGUGAAGAAAAUUUGGGCAACCAGUAAAAUUUUAGAAUCGUGAUCGGAAGUCUGAAUAAAUAUUUUUAGUCUCGGUCAAAACAAUCAAGAUGGCGGGAAAACGAGGUUUAGAGCACUUUGGAUUUAUCAAUAGUAAAAAACAGAAGCCUCAGCCUUGUACAUGUAACAAAUAAAUUCAAAAAUCACACGGGGAAAGUUCUGCAUCAAAAGAUGGCGUAGCAAUGUCUAAAGAGAAAUGCAGAAGUAAAGGAAGAACCCCAGUCCUGAAAUGGCGGAGGAAAUUUUCGUGAUGGCAAAAUGUUUUGCAGGAUUUGUGAGGCCAGUAAGCCUGCAACGUCCACAAUUUCUAGACAUCCAUUGUCCUAUUUCGCCACGACCAAGUGUACAUCUUUCAAACGUGGAAAUGUGACUAUUCACGGUAACAGUAAGAGACAUGUUGUCCGUGACUGCAUUAUUAGCAGUAAAUCGAGCGGGGCAACUGUUGCUGUUAAUUUUCAAAGACAAUCAAACUCGGGAUGUAGUGUUCUUAUUGAUGCUGGUACUAAUUGUUCAGCAAAAGAUCCAACAAAACUAGGAGCUCUUAAUCUUAUUCGCAUAGCAUGAUAAGCAGUGAAGGCCCACUUAUUGAUAACUUUAAAGCAAAUCCUUGUGUAGAAUGCUGGGUUUCUUCUCCAGAAGCGUACUGUAAAAUAUACAGGAUGGCCCAAUGCAAUACAACUUUUGCCAGAGUAAAUUCUUGACUUGUUAGCAUCCAGCAUUUUUCACAGUACAUUUCUAUUCAGUUUCAAAAUAUAAAGAAACAAAAUGUAUACAUGGUGUUGAUUUUUUACUUGCAAGAUAUUCAUAUUUUUAAAAAAACCUUGUAAGUCUUAUAUUUACAAAAGCUUUUACUAUGGCGAGUAGAAAUUUUGAACAUGGCGACUAGAAAUUUGAAAAUGGCGACCAGAAAUAUUUUUAGGUCGCCAUAGUGCGACCUGAUAGCAGAUGCGACUUGGAGCACUGUAUCGUGUUUUUUUUUAUUAAUCAAUAAAAGCCCUGCGGCAAUAUGUGACCUAUUGCUAUCUGUUUUUGUCCGUCGUCGUGCGUUAACAUUUGAACAUUUUCAGCUUCUUCUCUGAAACCCCUGAACCAAUUUUGGCAUAUAGCAUCUGUGGGUGGAGGGGAACAUAAAUUGUGAAAUUCGUGGUCCCUGCCCCCCUGGGGCCUGAGGGGUGGGGCAAAAACCAUCAAAA